UACGUAGGGGGCAAGCGUUGUCCGGAAUCAUUGGGCGUAAAGAGCGUGUAGGCGGCCCGAUAAGUCUGCCGUGAAAGUCCAGGGCUCAACCCUGGAAUGCCGGUGGAAACUGUCGGGCUGGAGUCCGGAAGAGGCGAGUGGAAUUCCUGGUGUAGCGGUGAAAUGCGCAGAUAUCAGGAAGAACACCAGUGGCGAAGGCGCCGCUCUGGGCCGUGACUGACGCUGAGGAGCGAAAGCGUGGGUAGCAAACAGG
rnacentral:rRNA from 1 species